GUAGGCGGUAGGCGGUAGACGGUAGGCGGUAGCCGGAAGGCGGUAGGCUGUAGACGGAAGGCGGUAGGCGGUAGGCUGUAGCCGGUAGACGGUAGACGGUAGGCGGUAGGCGGUAGACGGUAGAGGGUAGGCGGUAGACGGUAGCCGGUAGACGGUAGCCGGUAGGCGGUAGACGGUAGACGGUAGACGGUAGGCGGUAGGCGGUAGACGGUAGACGGUAGACGGUAGGCGGUAGGCGGUAGACGGUAGGCGGUAGAUGGAAGCUGUUUCCAUCUAGACCACAUGCUGAUUCUAAGGACCUUUCCUAAGUGGACUUUAUUUAGUGAGAGUUUGAUGCUGUUUGUCCUCCAAGAUAAAUCUAACCCCUGCCAAGGAGCUGUUCUGUUCUGCCUCCAGCUGCUUUAUAGCAUAGUGCUAUACACACAGACACAGACACACACACACACACAGACACAGACACACACACACACACACACACACACACACACACACACACCUCCACCAACACACACACACAGACACACACACACAC
rnacentral:lncRNA from 1 species